UGUGUACAAUAAUCAAGAAAAAUCUUCAUUUCUAAUUCUAUUAUGUGGGAAAAGAACCUUUCUUUUUUCUGCCUGCAUAAAACAAACCCCACUUCCACAUGGAAUAAGCUCCAGACCAUGUUUUCUAUUAUGCUUGAAUAUAUGGGACAUGCAUUGCAAUCCUAUGCUUGCCACACUGCUGCAGUAUACUUGUUUUGCAGAGCUCUGUAGCAGGCUAGUCAAAGCUGUGACUAACCAGACCCUUGGAUACAUACUCUAAUCUCUGGCCUUUAUUUUUACAAUGAAUUUGACUUGUUCAUUGAUUGUAUAUUUUUUCUGAUUUGUGAGAAGCUUCAUGCUCUGUGUUUGGAUGCUGACUGCAAUACAGCAAUAGUCUUUGAUACGCUUUACACUCUCAAAUUAAAGCUUAAAAACCUCCAAGGAAGGAAAGGAGGCCAGAUUGGAGGGGGAGGAGGUGAGAGGAAGGAAACGGGUGGAGAAAACCACUAUAUUCCCAAGAUGCAAGGAAAGUUGAAAAGUAGAAGAAAAAAUAUAUUAAAUCAGUGUAAACUAAGAGGUCUGGCUGGUUUCUAAAAUACAAAACCAAAGUGAGCACUGCUAGAAGACUAUGGAGAGAUAUGCGCAAUUCCCAAGCACUGCAGGCCUGAUGUUUACUUCCCUAGACACACUUUUGCUGCCAGCCAAGUAAGUUUAGCCAGAUGCUAAAUAAGUUGAGAGUAAUGCUCUAAGAGAGGAAGUGGACAAAUUAGUGUUCCCUAAUAUUUUCUAGUAUUUCCUUAAAAGAAAAAAAAAUUGCAACCUGAUAUAGAUUCACAGGUUUUCCUCGUAUUCUUUUGAGGAAGAUUUUGUAAGAUGGAUAAAAAUGUUCUUCAUGAUUGAAAAGAACCCAAAAUGAAGAAAUUCCUUAGAAAAACUAUUUACCUUAAAUGAUUCAGUAGUCAGCUCAUUUUGAGGUAUAUUGCAAAUGGGAGGCAAACUGUGUAUUUUUAGAG
rnacentral:lncRNA from 14 species